UGACGGUGUGGACUCGAUCCGCGCGGCUUCGCCGGGCGUCA
rnacentral:misc_RNA from 1 species